UACGUAGGGCGCAAGCGUUGUCCGGAAUUAUUGGGCGUAAAGAGCUCGUAGGUGGCGUGUCGCGUCUGCCGUGAAAGCCCAUGGCUUAACUGUGGGUCUGCGGUGGAUACGGGCAGGCUGGAGGCUGGUAGGGGCAAGCGGAAUUCCUGGUGUAGCGGUGAAAUGCGUAGAUAUCGAGAGGAACACCUGCGGCGAAGGCGGGUUGCUGGGCUGACACUGACGCUGAUGCGCGAAAGCCAGGGGAGCGAACGGG
rnacentral:rRNA from 1 species